rnacentral:rRNA from 1 species
UAAAUUAUGGUCAAUUGUUAGUAUUCAUAUUAAUUUUUUUAAAUGUUUUAUCAUUUUAUAAAGGUUUAUUUUUGAAAGAUUUUUUGUAUAAAAUUUUAGGAAUAGUUAAUAAUAAUUUAUAAUUUUGAUUAGAUUGUUUUGUUAAUGCUAUUAGAUGGGUGUGGAAAAAUAAAAAAAAUAAUUAAUAUAUAUCAAUAAUAAAUUAAAUUAAUCUAUUAGUCAGAAAUGGAUGCCAGCCGUUGCGGUAAUUUCUAUGCUUUUAAAUAUUAUACAAUUAUCAUAUUAAAUUGUUAAGUGCUGAUUUAACCAAUAAAAAUAUAAAUAAUUUUUAUUUGUUUUUAAACACCAUUAGGUAUAUGCAAAUAUAAAAUUAUAGUAAUUAUAAAUUAUAUUAUAUUAUAUUUAUUCAUAUAAUUAAUAGGAUAAUAUUUGUAGUUUUUGAUACCAUGAUAAGGAUUAUAAAUUGAAAGUGUUAAUAUCAUAAUCAAAAUUUAUUAUUUAUAUUAAAUAUGUAUGUGUAGAUAAAAUAAGAAAUUAAAAAGGUAUUGUUGCCCACCAAUUUUUAUAAUAAAAAUAACGUGCAGUAAUUAAUAUAUUUAUAAAAAUAUAUUUUUUUUUUUU